rnacentral:rRNA from 1 species
AUUGAACGCUGGCGGCAGGCUUAACACAUGCAAGUCGAACGAGUGGCGGACGGGUGAGUAAUGUAUGGGGACUGCCCGAUAGAGGGGGAUAAAUACUGGAAACGGUAGCUAAUACCGCAUACUAUAGGAUAAUCCAUUUGGGAUUAACUAGUUGGUGAGGUAAUGGCUCCCCAAGGCGACGAUCCCUAGCUGGUCUGAUAGGAUGCUCAGCCACACUGGGACUGAGACACGGCCCAGACUCCUGCGGAGGCAGCAGUGGGGAAUCUUGCACAAUGGGCGCAAGCCUGAUGCAGCCAUGCCGCGUGUAUGAAGAAUGCCCUCGGGUUGUAAAGUUCUUUUAUUCGGGAGGCGUUACCGACAGAAAAAGCACCGGCUAACUCCGUGCCAGCAGCCGCGGUAAUAC